AAGGGAGAAGAGGGUGUUCUCUGCUUUCUACAGUUAUGGAGUCCCUGUGGGGCCGCUGUUUCCCCUCCCAGGCUCUAAUGCUCAGGAUCCCCCUGCUCCUGGCACCUGUGUCAUGCCGAAAAGCUACUGGCGGUCCCUGUGAUGUGCCAGAGACUGGGGACCAUUUCCCACGUUGACUCCGUGUCCCUGGUCAUUCCCUGUCUGGGCUGGAAGCCCAGGGACGACCCCAUCAUGCAGAAGUUCCUGCGCAGACAUUCCUUUUGUUCCACUUGCAGCAGUGAGACCAUGGAAGCGUCCAGAGGGCAGGUUCCCACAGACGUGGGUCAGCAUGAAAGUGGGGACGAUGCCGCGCUGGUGGGGAGGUGGGCUGGUGACAGGGAACAAGGACGUGCUCAGAAGGCCGGGAAGGAAGCAGGUGGGAAGCACCUCCAGAGCUCAGGUGCAGCAGGGCUGGAGGAGCCGAGGUCUGGUCCCCCUGCCCCACUGGUGUCUGCUGUUGGCAAGAGUGAACUGUGCUCUGUCACUGUCCCUCUGCUCCACCCCAGCCUCUGGGAACGUGAUGACAUUUGUGUUUCUCUGCCGGGAAUAGCUGCCUUCACCCCAGUUUCCUUGCCCAUCUGAGUCCACUUCCUCCUCUGCCCACAGAUGCUGGGGUUUCCUGAUCCGGGUCAGGGAGCCUGUGGUGAGCCAUCAGGGAGCCCUGCUGGGGCUCUCUGGGAGAUGCAGGUACAUCCAGGCUCUACCCCCGUGUCCCCAGAGCACUGCCCGUGUUGUGCCGGCACAGCAUCUGUCCCCAGUGUCAGAGAGCCGGGAGCGGGCCAGCGAGAGGAGGGCCCCGGGAGCCCCCUGUCCUCCAGCAGCCCCACAUGUGUGCUCUGGGCUGCCCUCCACCCCGGGGGCUGGCCGUGCCCGGACCAGGAGGGCCCAGUGUCCCUGCCUCAGCCAUGGGGACGGCACCUCUCCUGCCACCACAGCCAGGCUGCUGGGAGUCCCCUGAGCUGGGAGAGGACAGAGGCGCAGCUGGGGCCAGCUAUUCCCUCACCAAGCUUCCAGGCUAUGGCCGACCCCAGCUCCUCCCACACCCUGGAAAGGACCGUUGGGGACUCUGUCCAGCUGCACCUGAUCUCCUCCUUGUCCCCUAAUGUCCGAGAGGUUGAGUGGAGUUGGCAAUCUGAGUCCGAGAAACAACAGUUCCUGGUGUCCUGGAAGCCUGAUGACUCUGGUCCUGACUGGUAUGAGCUUGAAGGAAAAUUCAGGAGCAGUCUCUCCCUGACAGAGAUGGCAGUUUUGAGCAUCAGGAAUCUCAGUACGGAAAUGAGUGGAUGGUAUACAGCAAAUGUCAAAUUCCGCACAGGAAAAUCCCAGAAGGAGGUCUUUAGACUCUGUGUAUAUGAGCCCAUCCCCCACCCCCAGAUUGUGAUUCAUUCACCAAUCAACCCAGCAGGCUGGUGCCAGGUCAGCCUGGAGUGUGAGACCCCAGGAUCUACAGAGAACUGGACAGUGACCUGGCUGACUGAGGGCCUCCCCAGGGAGCUGGAGCAGAGCGGGGCUCUGAGGCCAGCCCCCAGCUCCAGGAAUGUAAACCUGCGCCUGCCCCUGAGCCAGGUGAAUGGCUACCUCACCUGUUUGGUCAGCAACCCUGUGGAGGAGAAGAAUGCCACCUUGCCCCUGCAGAGCAUCUGUCUGGUCAGGGGUUCUCCUGACCACAAAUGGCUUUGGAUAGGCGUCCUGUCCACGCUUCUAAUGAUGAGCCUGGCUGGUGGAGUGUACGUCUGCAUGAGGAAGAAGAUGCAGUCCAGGAGGGGUGGAAAGCUGGGACCCAGCAGUACCGAGGGCCGGCCCACUCUGCUGCCCACAGAGCCAGGCUCAGCCGGUGUUCCCCAGGCCCUUCCCACAGAGGAACCUGCUGGCCUGCAGACUGGUAGGGCCAACAGCCACUGCCGUCCCGACGUGGAGAUGAGCCUCCUGAGACACCACAAGAAUGACAUGGAGAGGAGUGGCGGCCAUCCCCUCAGCUCUGAGUGCACCCCAACAGUCUACACUAUCUACGAGAAGGUCCGGCUGAGCCGAGAGCCCCAGGAAGACACCUAGGUCGACGGAGAUGUCAGAGCAUGAGGGGCCUUGGCAAGAUCUGCCCCACCCUACACUCCACCUAAGGCCCCCCAAAUCCCUCCUUAGGUGGAGCGAAGACAAGCCCCCAGGUCUUCCUGCUGUACCCCCCAAGACAAUAGAGCAGCACCACAUGUCCCUGGGCUCCUCACAAAGUUCUUCUCACUUCACAGGUCGUGAACGUUGACCAUGCUGCCUGAGCGUCCAGCACGAGAGACUGGUCCUCGGGCGGGCAGUUGGAUUUCCGACCUUGACCCACUUAUUCCAGUGAGGGAAUACCCAUAGUCAGGCAAGACCUGCGGAGGCAUUUCUGGGAACAGAGAUGUUUUCCUGGAAUUGGGCGGGCCUUGGAUGGAGGACCGCCAGAUGUCACUGCCCAGCCCACCCCCAUGAACAGAGGAGGGAUGGCCCUGGGAAGGUCAAGUCCAGGGUCAGCUUCAGCUCUGCCAGAGGAAGGAAACAGCUCCUGAGCUCCAUCACCUGCAGGCUUACUGUAAACACCAGAAACGCACUAUCCCAAGGUCUCUCUUCAAAGUUCAAGCAAUUUCUCGACCCUUUUUUUUAUUACUUAAUAUAUGUAAAUUGCAAGAAAGUCAAAGGCAUGUCUCCUUGAAAUUAUAUUUCAUCAGUUUUGUUGCAAAUAGGAUCCUGUUCCUGUUGUAUCUUCUAAUUAGUUGUUAAAAUAACACAUAUUAAACACAUAUUGUCACAUCGCUGUUUCUCUACUGCUUGAAACAGCUUUUCAGUUGAUCCCUUUGAAUUUCUGGGCAAAGAACCAUAUUAUCGACAAAUAAUUAUAAUUUUUCCUUCCUUCUUUCCAAUUUUUAUGCUUCAUUCCUCUCCUGUUGUCUCACUAUGCUGGCAAAUACCUCCCAGACCAUGUUUAAGAGGAGUGAUUCUGAAGCACAUCCUUGUUUUGUUCCUAAUUUAUUGUAAGUGCUCCGAGGGCAUCCUUGUUAUUAGUAGAUUUCCUCCUAUUGAACUAUUCUUGUGGUAUUGGAAUAAAUCCCAGUUGAUGUAUUAUUCUCUUAAUGUG
ensembl:lncRNA uncharacterized LOC112912590